rnacentral:rRNA from 1 species
GACGAACGCUGACGGCGUGCUUAACACAUGCAAGUCGAGCGGAAAGGCCCUUUCGGGGGUACUCGAGCGGCGAACGGGUGAGUAACACGUGAGUAAUCUGCCCUUGGCUUCGGGAUAGCCACCGGAAACGGUGAUUAAUACCGGAUACGACACAUCACUGCAUGGUGCGUGUGUGGAAAGUUUUUUCGGCCAGGGAUGUGCUCGCGGCCUAUCAGCUUGUUGGUGGGGUAAUGGCCUACCAAGGCUUCGACGGGUAGCCGGCCUGAGAGGGUGACCGGCCACACUGGGACUGAGACACGGCCCAGACUCCUACGGGAGGCAGCAGUGGGGAAUAUUGGACAAUGGGCGGAAGCCUGAUCCAGCAACGCCGCGUGAGGGAUGACGGCCUUCGGGUUGUAAACCUCUUUCAGCACAGACGAAGCGCAAGUGACGGUAUGUGCAGAAGAAGGACCGGCCAACUACGUGCCAGCCGCCGCAGUAAAAC